AUAAAUUAUUCUUAUGCUCAUUUUCUUGUCUCCAGAAUUAUAAUAAAAGGUCACUUCUUCAUUUUAUAAUAGUAGAACAGAUAUUGCUUAAAUUCAUUUUCUUUUUCUCCUCAAAGCAUUGAAAUGCAAGGUCUGCUUGGUGACAUGUGUUAAGUACUGCUUUAUAUAUACUAGUGCACUUUGUCUUUCCUCAUUAAAUGCAUUGUUUUCCAGUUAUCUUCCCUAACUUUAAUUCUGCUUGAUCCCGACAAUGUUUGUAGUUUACCAAAUAAGA
rnacentral:lncRNA from 1 species